rnacentral:rRNA from 1 species
CUACGGGUCGCAGCAGUGGGGAAUAUUGGACAAUGGGCGCAAGCCUGAUCCAGCAAUGCCGCGUGAGUGAAGACGGCCUUAGGGUUGUAAAACUCUUUCGCUAGGGAAGAUAAUGACUGUACCUAGUAAAGAAGUCCCGGCUAACUCCGUGCCAGCAGCCGCGGUAAUACGGAGGGGACUAGCGUUGUUCGGAAUUACUGGGCGUAAAGAGUUCGUAGGCGGACUGACAAGUUAGAGGUGAAAUCCCAGGGCUCAACCCUGGAACUGCCUUUAAAACUGUCAGUCUAGAGACCGGAAGAGGUUAGGGGAAUACCUAGUGUAGAGGUGAAAUUCGUAGAUAUUAGGUGGAACACCAGUGGCGAAGGCGCCUAACUGGUCCGGUACUGACGCUGAGGAACGAAAGCGUGGGGAGCAAACAGGAUUAGAUACCCCCGUAGUC